GGCUCCGUAGCUCAGCGGAUAGAGCGACGGUUUCCUAAACCGCAGGUCACAGGUUCAAUUCCUGUCGGGGCCG
rnacentral:tRNA from 1 species